UAAGAUGUGAAAACGAACAUUCAGAGACUUACAGACGUUCUUCACACCGGUCCUCCUUCACUGUGAUAAAGUCUUCCACACUAGUUUUCCUAAAAGCAGCAGCACUGUUGUAUUGUGGACUGAAUCACUCUCUCC